rnacentral:rRNA from 1 species
GAUGAACGCUGGCGGCGUGCCUAAUACAUGCAAGUCGAACGCAUAGCGAAAGGUGCUUGCCCCUUUCAAGUGAGUGGCGAACGGGUGAGUAACACGUGGACAACCUGCCUCAAGGCUGGGGAUAACAUUUGGAAACAGAUGCUAAUACCGAAUAAAACUUAGUGUCGCAUGACACAAAGUUAAAAGGCGCUUCGGCGUCACAUAGAGCUGGAUCCGCGGUGCAUUAGUUAGUUGGUGGGGUAAAGGCCUACCAAGACAAUGAUGCAUAGCCGAGUUGAGAGACUGAUCGGCCACAUUGGGACUGAGACACGGCCCAAACUCCUACGGGAGGCUGCAGUAGGGAAUCUUCCACAAUGGGCGAAAGCCUGAUGGAGCAACGCCGCGUGUGUGAUGAAGGCUUUCGGGUCGUAAAGCACUGUUGUAUGGGAAGAACAGCUAGAAUAUGAAAUGAUGUUAGUUUGACGGUACCAUACCAGAAAGGGACGGCUAAAUACGUG